rnacentral:rRNA from 1 species
GGGAAACACCCGUACCCAUCCCGAACACGACGGUUAAGCCCUUUAGCGCCGAGAGUACUUGGAUCGCAGGAUCCUGGGAGGGUAGGACGUUGCCAGGC